AGAGUGAACGCUGGCGGCGUGCUUACACAUGCAAGUCGAACGAUGAAGCUCUAGCUUGCUAGAGUGGAUUAGUGGCGCACGGGUGAGGAAUAUAUAGCUAAUGUGCCCCAUAGAGGGGGAUAACAGUUGGAAACGACUGCUAAUACCCCAUACUCCUUCUUCUCAUAAGGGAAGUCGGGAAAGUUUUUUCGCUAUGGGAUCGGGCUAUACGGUAUCAGCUUGUUGGUGAGGUAACGGCUCACCAAGGCUAUGACGCCUAUCUGGUCUGAGAGGAUGAUCAGACACACUGGAACUGAGACACGGUCCAGACUCCUACGGGAGGCAGCAGUGGGGAAUACUACACAAUGGAGGCAACUCUGAUGUAGCAACGCCGCGUGGAGGAUGACACAUUUCGGUGCGUAAACUCCUUUUAUAUAGGAAGAUAAUGACGGUACUAUAUGAAUAAGCACCGGCUAACUCCGUGCCAGCAGCCGCGGUAAUACGGAGGGUGCAAGCGUUACUCGGAAUCACUGGGCGUAAAGCGCGCGCAGGCGGCCCCUUAAGUUGGAUGUGAAAUCCUAUGGCUCAACCAUAGAACUGCAUCCAAAACUGAGGGGCUAGAGU
rnacentral:rRNA from 1 species